AGAGGGGGAAAUCAUCGAUGGCGAAGCACCUCCACCUCCUGCUCGCCGCCUGCAUCUUCCUCUCCUCGGCGGCGGCGGCGGCGGCGUCGUCGGAUCCUGGCUCCUCGUCGCAGACUCUGCCACGGACAGCCGCUCCUGGAAGUCUUCAGAUCGACGGAACCAAUUUCGACUCUCUCCGUCUUCGCCAGGAGCUUCAACCGCGGCAGGAGGACGGAUUCGAGGUAUGAUAUCAGUUUGAAUCCUCUCCCUCUCUCUCUCGCUCGCUCAUCGUUCUGGAUCUGCUUCCCCCACUCUGGGAGAGCAGAAGAGGUGGGGGGGAAGGCAGAGGCAGGAUCGCGAAACUAAAUGCCGGCGAAUCUGGAUUUGAUGCGCAGACGAAGAGCAGCGGGAUGGGAAGGGGCGCCUGCACGUACACGGUGAGCAUCAAGACGAGCUGCUCCUCCCCCAGAUUGACCCGCGACGCCAUCAGCCUCGUUUUCGGCGACUUCUACCACAACGAGGUACUGCUCCCUCUCUUCGCCUUCCUGUCAAUCUAAUCCAAAGGAUUUCUUCUGCUGCGCUCGGCAGAUCGCCGAUCCAGCGGACCUUCUCCCUACUUUCACUGCCCCUCCGUCAAAGAUCAGCAUACAGCUAUCUGUAGUGGCGGACUACAGCCUCCAUAGAUCUCUAGCACUCGAUCGUCACGGCGUCUGUUCUCUCCCGCAGUCGGUCCGUCGAUCGACGACGCUCGGAUCCAUCGAUCGAUCGAUCUCUCAUUCCAUUCUGCUAGGGUUAGGGUUAGGGUUUCGUGAGCUCUCCUUCCAUCUGCGCGCAGGUGUACGCUCCCCGACUGGACGAUCCUGCUUCGAGGGCGUUCGAACGGUGCUCCACGGACACCUUCCGCAUUGCCGGGCCCUGCGGCGGCCCCACCUGCUACCUCUACCUCUUCCGCUCCGGCCACGACGGCUGGACACCGGACUCCGUGAAGGUCUUCUACCGCCCCGGGGACUCCCGCUCCGCCAUCACCUUCUUCUAUCAAGUCCCCAUCCCCAGCGGCGUCUGGUACGGCUUCGACCUCUGCCACAGCAGCUCCUCCGUCCCUUCCCUUCUCCCUUUCGCCACGACGACGGCGGCGGCGGCGGUGGCGGCAGCGGCGGCGGCGGUGAUCUGAGGGCGAAGGCGAGAGCCCUCGGGCACCUCACCGGCCCAUGUCCGGCGACCAAUAAACGUUUACCACUUCUCCCUGGUUCCUGAGGACCACACCGCCGGCCGACA
rnacentral:lncRNA from 1 species